rnacentral:piRNA from 1 species
GAGGCUGUGGAGACAAUCACAAAUGACAGA